CAAGUAUAGUAAAAUAAGGGCAAGAAUCAGCACCACUGCAGUUCCGACAAUGGCGACUUGAGCCAGAGGCGAAGAUGGUUGUUGCAGAUUUGGAGAUAUGGUUGAUGUUGUCCAAGUAUGAAAGGGCUACAAAUGUAAAAUAUUUCAAGAGUUAAGAUUUUUUUUUUUUUUUUUCUAUCUCGUGGCUGAGUUUUAGUUGGUAAUUCUUUGCUAUUCUGUAUAAAACGGUCAAGCCAAAGUUAUUAAUGAUGGAACUGCAGAAAUUGGGGUUUUAUUGGGAUUAAUAUUUGUUGAGAUUUAUAUUUUUAGG